rnacentral:rRNA from 1 species
UACGUAGGGUGCGAGCGUUUAAUCGGAAUUACUGGGCGUAAAGUGUGCGCAGGCGGCCGCGCAAGUCGAGUGUGAAAGCCCCGAGCUUAACUUGGGAAUUGCGCUCGAAACUACGUGGCUGGAGUGUGGCAGAGGAAGGUGGAAUUCCACGUGUAGCGGUGAAAUGCGUAGAGAUGUGGAGGAACACCGAUGGCGAAGGCAGCCUUCUGGGCCAACACUGACGCUCAUGCACGAAAGCGUGGGGAGCAAACAGG